rnacentral:rRNA from 1 species
AUUGAACGCUGGCGGCAGGCCUACACAUGGAAGUCGAGCGGGUGAAGGGAGCUUUCUCCUGGAUUCAGCGGCGGACGGGUGGGUAAUGCCUAGGAAUCUUCCUGGUAGUGGGGGAUAACGUCCGGAAACGGGCGCUAAUACCGCAUACGUCCUGAGGGAGGAAGUGGGGGAUUUUCGGACCUCACGCUAUCAGAUGAGCCUAGGUCGGAUUAGCUAGUUGGUGGGGUAAAGGCCUACCAAGGCGACGAUCCGUAACUGGUCUGAGAGGAUGAUCAGUCACACUGGAACUGAGACACGGUCCAGACUCCUACGGGAGGCAGCAGUGGGGAAUAUUGGACAAUGGGCGAAAGCCUGAUCCAGCCAUGCCGCGUGUGUGAAGAAGGUCUUCGGAUUGUAAAGCACUUUAAGUUGGGAGGAAGGGCAGUAAGUUAAUACCUUGCUGUUUUGACGUUACCAACAGAAUAAGCACCGGCUAACUUCGUG